CAGGCCUGGCAGACGUACCCUCGGCGCGCUGGCCCAGCUGCUACAGCGCGCGCCCGCGCCUCACAUGGAAGCACCGAUGGCAGAAUAUUAACUAUCAAUUUCUGGGCAAGAGGAAGAGACAUCUAGUUCCCCUGCGCCCGUGAGAGCCGGGAUCUGGGGAGACAGGCUUCAGGUUCAUCACAUGAUUGUCCCAAGGCUGACUGGUGCCGAGCCACGAUGAGCGGGAAGAUGUCCUGGGAACAAUGCACAGUCCCAUGUCCCUCUCUGUGCGUGAAGAUUCUCUACGUUUGCCUUCUCCCCUGGGAUCUCCAUGUUUCUGCCCCUCACUGCCCAAAUAAAGCAGUUUUCACCUCUC